UACGUAGGGCGCGAGCGUUGUCCGGAUUUAUUGGGCGUAAAGAGCUCGUAGGCGGCUUGUCGCGUCGUUCGUGAAAACCUGCAGCUCAACUGCAGGCUUGCGGUCGAUACGGGCAGGCUAGAGUUCGGUAGGGGAGACUGGAAUUCCUGGUGUAGCGGUGAAAUGCGCAGAUAUCAGGAGGAACACCGGUGGCGAAGGCGGGUCUCUGGACAGUUCCUGACGCUGAGGCACGAAGGCCAGGGGAGCAAACGGG
rnacentral:rRNA from 1 species